CACGAGGGGGCGAGCGUUGUCCGGAUUUAUUGGGCGUAAAGAGCUCGUAGGCGGUUUGUCGCGUCGGCCGUGAAAUCUCCACGCUUAACGUGGAGCGUGCGGUCGAUACGGGCAGACUUGAGUUCGGUAGGGGAGACUGGAAUUCCGUGGUGUAGCGGUGAAAUGCGCAGAUAUCAGGAGGAACACCGGUGGCGAAGGCGGGUCUCUGGGCCGAUACUGACGCUGAGGAGCGAAAGCGUGGGGGAGCGAACAGGG
rnacentral:rRNA from 1 species